rnacentral:rRNA from 1 species
UUGCUCCCGGAUGUUAGCGGCGGACGGSUGAKUAACACGUGGGUAACCUGCCUGUAAGACUGGGAUAACYCCSGGAAACCGGAGCUAAUACCGGAUAGUUCCUUGAACCGCAUGGUUCAAGGAUGAAAGACGGUUUCGGCUGUCACUUACAGAUGGACCCGCGGCGCAUUAGCUAGUUGGUGGGGUAAUGGCUCACCAAGGCGACGAUGCGUAGCCGACCUGAGAGGGUGAUCGGCCACACUGGGACUGAGACACGGCCCAGACUCCUACGGGAGGCAGCAGUAGGGAAUCUUCCGCAAUGGACGAAAGUCUGACGGAGCAACGCCGCGUGAGUGAUGAAGGUUUUCGGAUCGUAAAGCU